CCUACGGGAGGCAGCAGUGGGGAAUAUUGCACAAUGGGGGAAUCCCUGAUGCAGCGACGCCGCGUGAGUGAAGAAGUAAUUCGUUAUGUAAAGCUCUAUCAGCAGGGAAGAAAAUGACGGUACCUGAGUAAGAAGCCCCGGCUAACUACGUGCCAGCAGCCGCGGUAAUACGUAGGGGGCAAGCGUUAUCCGGAUUUACUGGGUGGAAAGGGAGCGUAGACGGCAGUGCAAGUCUGGAGUGAAAGGCGGGGGCUCAACCCCCGGACUGCUCUGGAAACUGUACGGCUGGAGUGCAGGAGAGGUAAGUGGAAUUCCUAGUGUAGCGGUGAAAUGCGUAGAUAUUAGGAGGAACACCAGUGGCGAAGGCGGCUUACUGGACUGUAACUGACGUUGAGGCUCGAAAGCGUGGGGAGCAAACAGGAUUAGAUACCCCAGUAGUC
rnacentral:rRNA from 1 species